rnacentral:tRNA from 1 species
GCUCAGUUGGUUAAGGGUUUGACUCUUGAUUUCGGCUCAGGUCAAGAUUGCAUGGUUUGUGGGUUCAAGCCUCACGUUGGGCU